AAGUCGUAACAAGGUUUCCGUAGGUGAACCUGCGGAAGGAUCAUUAAAAAAUUGAGGUAUUCGUACCUCUUUGUAUUUAAAACCUUACUCUAUAAAUUUAUAUAUAUAAAAAAUAAAUGAAAAACUUUCAACAAUGGAUCUCUUGGCUCUC
rnacentral:misc_RNA from 1 species